GAUGAACGCUGGCGGCGUGCCUAAUACAUGCAAGUCGAGCGAACAGACGAGGAGCUUGCUCCUCUGACGUUAGCGGCGGACGGGUGAGUAACACGUGGAUAACCUACCUAUAAGACUGGGAUAACUUCGGGAAACCGGAGCUAAUACCGGAUAAUAUAUUGAACCGCAUGGUUCAAUAGUGAAAGACGGUUUUGCUGUCACUUAUAGAUGGAUCCGCGCCGCAUUAGCUAGUUGGUAAGGUAACGGCUUACCAAGGCAACGAUGCGUAGCCGACCUGAGAGGGUGAUCGGCCACACUGGAACGGAGACACGGUCCAGACUCCUACGGGAGGCAGCAGUAGGGAAUCUUCCGCAAUGGGCGAAAGCCUGACGGAGCAACGCCGCGUGAGUGAUGAAGGUCUUCGGAUCGUAAAACUCUGUUAUUGGGGAAGAACAAAUGUGUAAGUAACUAUGCACGUCUUGACGGUACCUAAUCAGAAAGCCACGGCUAACUACGUG
rnacentral:rRNA from 1 species